AGAGUUUGAUCCUGGCUCAGAUUGAACGCUGGCGGCAUGCCUUUACACAUGCAAGUCGAACGGUAGCAGGCCUUAGGGCGCUGACGAGUGGCGAACGGGUGAGUAAGACAUCGGAACGUGCCCGAUCGAGGGGGAUAACGGAGCGAAAGCUCUGCUAAUACCGCAUAAGAUCCGAGGAUGAAAGCAGGGGACCGAAAGGCCUUGCGCGGACGGAGCGGCUGAUGGCAGAUUAGGUAGUUGGUGGGAUAAAAGCCUACCAAGCCGACGAUCUGUAGCUGGUCUGAGAGGACGACCAGCCACACUGGGACUGAGACACGGCCCAGACUCCUACGGGAGGCAGCAGUGGGGAAUUUUGGACAAUGGGCGCAAGCCUGAUCCAGCCAUGCCGCGUGCAGGAUGAAGGCCCUCGGGUUGUAAACUGCUUUUGUACGGAACGAAAAGGCCCUGGUGAACAGCCGGGGUUGCUGACGGUACCGUAAGAAUAAGCACCGGCUAGCUACGUGCCAGCAGCCGCGGUAAUACGUAGGGUGCGAGCGUUAAUCGGAAUUACUGGGCGUAAAGCGUGCGCAGGCGGACAUGCAAGACAGAUGUGAAAUCCCCGGGCUCAACCUGGGAACUGCAUAUGUGACUGCAUGACUGGAGUACGGCAGAGGGGGAUGGAAUUCCGCGUGUAGCAGUGAAAUGCGUAGAUAUGCGGAGG
rnacentral:rRNA from 1 species